rnacentral:rRNA from 1 species
CGAUAAUCUGCCCUAAGGUUUUGGAUAGCCUCGGGAAACUGAGGGUAAACCAGAAUAUGAGAUUGAAACUGGAAUGUUCUAUCUUUGAAAAGCAAUGCCUUAGGAUGAGUCGGCGGCUGAUUAGGUUGUUGGUGAGGUAAUGGCUCACCAAGCCUCGGAUCAGUAGGGGGGAUGAGAGUCCUAGCCCCGAGAAGGGCACUGAGACACUGGCCCUAGCCCUAAGGGGUGCAGCAGGCGCGAAAACUUUACAAUGCACGAAAGUGUGAUAAGGGAAUUCCAAGUGCUUUGUCUUCGGAUAAAGCUUUUACCAAGUCUAAAUAGCUUGGAGAAUAAGUGAUGGGUAAGACGGGUGCCAGCCGCCGCGGUAACACCUGCGUCACAAGUGGCGAUCAUAUUUAUUGGGUCUAAAGCGUUCGUAGCCGGUUUGAUAAGUCUUUUGUGAAAUUGUUAGUCUUAAAUUAACAGCGUGCAAGGGAAACUAUCUGACUAGAGACCGGGAGGGGGCAACGGUAUUUCAGGGGGAGCGGUAAAAUGUUAGAAUCCCUGGAGGACCACCGAUGGCGAAGGCAGUUGCCUAGAACGGGUCUGACGGUCAGGAACGAAGGCCAGGGUAGCAAAACGGAUUAGAUACCCGAGUAGUCCUGUGCAGUAAACGCUGUGAGCUGUGUGUUGCACAUUCUUUGUGGAUGUGCAGUGCCUAAGCGAAGGUGUUAAGCUCACCACCUGGGGAGUACGGUCGCAAGAUUGAAACUUAAAGGAAUUGGCGGGGGCUCACUACAAGGGGUGAAGAGUGCGGUUC